rnacentral:rRNA from 1 species
GCGAAGCCGUAAGGCGAUGUAUACGGACUGACGCCUGCCCGGUGCUGGAACGUUAAGGGGACCGGUUAGUCACAUUUUGGUGUGGCGAAGCUGAGAACUUAAGCGCCAGUAAACGGCGGUGGUAACUAUAACCAUCCUAAGGUAGCGAAAUUCCUUGUCGGGUAAGUUCCGACCUGCACGAAUGGCGUAACGACUUCUCGACUGUCUCAACCAUAGGCCCGGUGAAAUUGCAUUACGAGUAAAGAUGCUCGUUUCGCGCAGCAGGACGGAAAGACCCCGGGACCUUUACUACAGUUUGAUAUUGGUGUUCGGUUCGGCUUGUGUAGGAUAGGUGGGAGACUGUGAAGCAUGCACGCCAGUGUGUGUGGAGUCGUCGUUGAAAUACCACUCUGGUCGUGCUGGAUGUCUAACCUGGGUCCGUGAUCCGGAUCAGGGACAGUGUCUGAUGGGUAGUUUAACUGGGGCGGUUGCCUCCUAAAGAGUAACGGAGGCGCCCAAAGGUUCCCUCAGCCUGGUUGGUAAUCAGGUGUUGAGUGUAAGUGCACAAGGGAGCUUGACUGUGAGACCGACGGGUCGAGCAGGGACGAAAGUCGGGACUAGUGAUCCGGCGGUGGCUUGUGGAAGCGCCGUCGCUCAACGGAUAAAAGGUACCCCGGGGAUAACAGGCUGAUCUUCCCCAAGAGUCCAUAUCGACGGGAUGGUUUGGCACCUCGAUGUCGGCUCGUCGCAUCCUGGGGCUGGAGUCGGUCCCAAGGGUUGGGCUGUUCGCCCAUUAAAGCGGUACGCGAGCUGGGUUUAGAACGUCGUGAGACAGUUCGGUCCCUAUCCGCUGUGCGCGUAGGAAUAUUGAGAAGGGCUGUCCCUAGUACGAGAGGACCGGGACGGACGAACCUCUGGUGUGCCAGUUGUUCUGCCAAGGGCAUGGCUGGUUGGCUACGUUCGGGAGGGAUAACCGCUGAAAGCAUCUAAGCGGGAAGCCUGCUUCGAGAUGAGUAUUCCCACCUCCUUGAGAGGGUAAGGCUCCCAGUAGACGACUGGGUUGAUAGGCCGGAUAUGGAAGCCCUGUAAGGGGUGGAGUUGACCGGUACUAAUAGGCCGAGGGCUUGUCCUCAGUUG